UAGUAACUGCGAGUGAAGCGGGAAAAGCUCAAAUUUAAAAUCUGGCAGUCUUUGGCCGUCCGAGUUGUAAUUUAGAGAAGCGUCUUCCGCGCUGGACCGUGCACAAGUCUCCUGGAAUGGAGCGUCAUAGAGGGUGAGAAUCCCGUCUUUGGCACGGAUGCCUGGUGCUUCUGUGAUGCGCUCUCGAAGAGUCGAGUUGUUUGGGAAUGCAGCUCAAAAUGGGUGGUGAACUCCAUCUAAAGCUAAAUAUUGGCGAGAGACCGAUAGCGAACAAGUACCGUGAGGGAAAGAUGAAAAGCACUUUGGAAAGAGAGUGAAACAGUACGUGAAAUUGUUGAAAGGGAAACGCUUGAAGUCAGUCGCGUCGACCGAGACUCAGCCUUGCCUUGGCUUGGUGUACUUCUCGGCCCGACGGGUCAGCAUCAAUUUUGCCCCUCGGAUAAUGGCAGGGGAAAGGUGGCACCUUUACGGGUGUGUUAUAGUCUCCCGUCGAAUGCGAGGGGUGGGAUUGAGGAACUCAGCGCGCACCUCAGUGUCGGGGCUUCGGCCCACGUCACGCGCUUAGGAUGCUGGCGUAAUGGCUUUAAACGACCCGUCUUGAAACACGGACCAAGGAGUCCAACACGCCCGCGAGUGUUCGGGUGGAAAACCCGUGCGCGUAAUGAAAGUGAAAGUUGGGACCUCUGUCGUGGAGGGCACCGACGCCCGGACCAGACCUUCUGUGACGGAUCUGCGGUAGAGCGUGUGUGUUGGGACCCGAAAGAUGGUGAACUAUGCCUGAAUAGGGUGAAGCCAGAGGAAACUCUGGUGGAGGCUCGUAGCGAUUCUGACGUGCAAAUCGAUCGUCAAAUUUGGGUAUAGGGGCG
rnacentral:rRNA from 1 species